rnacentral:rRNA from 1 species
AUUGAACGCUGGCGGCAGGCCUAACACAUGCAAGUCGAGCGAGCGGCGGACGGGUGAGUAAUGUUUGGGGACUGCCCGUUAGAGGGGGAUAACUACUGGAAACGGUAGCUAAUACCGCAUACUAUCCGAUACCCCUUCUGGGAUUAGCUAGUCGGUGGGGUAAUGGCUCACCUAGGCGACGAUCCCUAGCUGGUCUGCGAGGAUGAUCAGCCACACUGGGACUGAGACACGGCCCAGACUCCUACGGAGGCAGCAGUGGGGAAUAUUGCACAAUGGGCGAAAGCCUGAUGCAGACAUGCCGCGUGUAUGAAGAAGGCCCUAGGGUUGUAAAGUACUUUCAGUCGGGAGGCGUUACCGACAGAAGAAGCACCGGCUAACUCCGUGCCAGCAGCCGCGGUAAUAC